rnacentral:rRNA from 1 species
UACGGAGGGUGCGAGCGUUGUCCGGAAUCAUUGGGCGUAAAGGGCGCGUAGGUGGCCCGGUCAGUUCGUGGUGAAAGCGCGGGGCUCAACCCUGCGUCGGCCAUGAAUACUGCCGCGGCUGGAGCACUGUAGAGGCAGGCGGAAUUCCGGGUGUAGCGGUGGAAUGCGUAGAGAUCCGGAAGAACACCCGUGGCGAAGGCGGCUCUCUGGGACGGUACUGACGCUGAGACGCGAAAGCGUGGGGAGCGAACGAG